UACGUAGGGUGCAAGCGUUGUCCGGAUUCAUUGGGCGUAAAGAGCUCGUAGGCGGCUUACUAAGUCGAGUGUGAAAACUCCAGGCUCAACCUGGAGCCUGCACUUGAUACUGGUAUGGCUUGAGUCCGGUAGGGGACCACGGAAUUCCUGGUGUAGCGGUGAAAUGCGCAGAUAUCAGGAGGAACACCAAUAGCGAAGGCAGCUCGCUGGGACGUUACUGACACUGAGGCGCGAAAGCGUGGGGAGCGAACAGG
rnacentral:rRNA from 1 species